GUUCAAGUAAAGACAAACAAAAGCUUUACUCUUGCACACAUUAGAAUAAAAAUUCAGUUCAUUUGAAUGUUCCUGACCACAUAAUUCAGGGUUAAACUUAAAGGUUGCAUGUUGAAAUAAAUCUAAAUAUUCUAAAUAAUUUUAUUUGCAGUCAAAUGAGAAGUUAUGUUUAAUUCUUAGUAGUCAAUAACAUGCAAGAAAUCAGCUGAGAUCUUUAAAGUACAUAUAAGGGUGCGUUCACACUUGUAGUUCGGUUCAGACCAAAAAGAAAAAAAAAAUUUUUUUUUUGGCCAAUCCGAUUAGCGUUCAGAUUUCCAAUUUUAUCACCGAACCAAAAGAUACCGAACCUAAAGGCAUACGGACACGUUCACAACCUGAUUGGUCGGAUUUUAUGACGUAUUGCCUAUUUUGAGACGGAACUUACCGAACAUCCAAAACAAUGCUGUGUGCUGAGGUAAAUGCGCUUGUUGUAUGUGUGUAGCCUACAUAUGAUGGUAUUUUGGCCAGCUGGGAACUUGUGAAGAGCUUAUAAAAUGUGUAAAGGAGUCAAAACAGCGGCGCGAAUCUAUCCGUCACACACACAAACGAUCUGCUGCGUGGAGGAGAUUUUUUAAUUAAUUUGGUGCUAUUAUGCACAGCAGAGUAAACAACACUUGGGUUUCCGCUGCUUGCAAACAGACUAUUUUGAGGAGACAGCUGAUUACCAUCUAUUUGCCGCUUUGAUUGCACUCGCAAAGCGUGAAUACACUGCAGGUUCACUCCUGCUCGAAUCCAAGAUUUCUGCAGUACCUUCAGUGACUUUCAGAGGUCCCUAGUUGAAAACCCUGGCAGUACAUGGAUCUUAACCGCAUUCUUGUAAAUGCAUCAUCUCUUAGAAGCAUUAGGAUGUAUUGAAAAUGCAUUCUUGUGUCAGUAGCUGUGUCCCAAAUGACAUACUACAUUAUUCACUUAUACUAUGCAAUAUGUACUGAACCAUGUAUGAGGUUUAAAAGGCAAUUUUAUCACCCAGUAAUGGAGUCUGAUAGCCUUUCUCCUUUGGCUACGCAAGGAAAGCUGUGACAGUUGAGUGCAAAAAAAAAAAAAAAAAAAUCUAAUCUGACACUGAAAUAUUGCUAUAGUAAGCAACUGCAAAUCAAGAACAAAAAUACGGUAAGCUCAUCAAAGUGUUUUCAGGUUGUUUGGGUUUAAUAAAACAAAGACUAA